rnacentral:rRNA from 1 species
GAUGAACGCUGGCGGCGUGCCUAAUACAUGCAAGUAGAACGCUGAAGCUUGGUGCUUGCACCGAGCGGAUGAGUUGCGAACGGGUGAGUAACGCGUAGGUAACCUGCCUGGUAGCGGGGGAUAACUAUUGGAAACGAUAGCUAAUACCGCAUGACAACAGUUAUUGCAUGAUAACUGUUUAAAAGGGGCAAUUGCUCCACUACCAGAUGGACCUGCGUUGUAUUAGCUAGUUGGUGAGGUAACGGCUCACCAAGGCGACGAUACAUAGCCGACCUGAGAGGGUGAUCGGCCACACUGGGACUGAGACACGGCCCAGACUCCUACGGGAGGCAGCAGUAGGGAAUCUUCGGCAAUAGACGGAAGUCUGACCGAGCAACGCCGCGUGAGUGAAGAAGGUUUUCGGAUCGUAAAGCUCUGUUGUAAGAGAAGAACGAGUGUGAGAGUGGAAAGUUCACACUGUGACGGUAUCUUACCAGAAAGGGACGGCUAACUACGUG